AACGAACGCUGGCGGCGUGCUUAACACAUGCAAGUCGAACGCGAAAGGGACUUCGGUCCUGAGUAAAGUGGCGCACGGGUGAGUAACGCGUGGAUAAUCUACCCGAUGGACCGGGAUAACAUUUCGAAAGGGGUGCUAAUACCGGAUAAGACCACGGGCUCUUCGGGGCUAGUGGUAAAAGGUGGGGACCUUCGGGCCUACCGUUAUCGGAUGAGUCCGCGUACCAUUAGCUAGUUGGUGGGUAAAGGCCUACCAAGGCGACGAUGGUUAGCUGGUCUGAGAGGAUGAUCAGCCACACUGGAACUGAGACACGGUCCAGACUCCUACGGGAGGCAGCAGUGGGAAUUUUGCGCAAGUGGGGAAACCCUGACGCAGCAACGCCGCGUGAGUGA
rnacentral:rRNA from 1 species